AUACGUAGGUGGCAAGCGUUGUCCGGAUUUACUGGGCGUAAAGGAUGCGUAGGCGGAUAUUUAAGUGAGAUGUGAAAUUCCUAAGCUUAACUUGGGAGCUGCAUUUCAAACUGGAUGUCUAGAGUGCAGGAGAGGAGAAUGGAAUUCCUAGUGUAGCGGUGAAAUGCGUAGAGAUUAGGAAGAACACCAGUGGCGAAGGCGAUUCUCUGGACUGUAACUGACGCUGAGGCAUGAAAGCGUGGGUAGCAAACAGGAUUAGAUACCCUGGUAGUCCACGCCGUAAACGAUGAGUACUAGGUGUAGGAGGUCUAAGCCUUCUGUGCCGCAGUUAACACAAUAAGUACUCCGCCUGGGAAGUACGAUCGCAAGAUUAAA
rnacentral:rRNA from 1 species